UGAAGAGUUUGAUCAUGGCUCAGAUUGAACGCUGGCGGCAGGCCUAACACAUGCAAGUCGAACGGUAACAGGAAGCAGCUUGCUGCUUCGCUGACGAGUGGCGGACGGGUGAGUAAUGUCUGGGAAACUGCCUGAUGGAGGGGGAUAACUACUGGAAACGGUGGCUAAUACCGCAUAACGUCGCAAGACCAAAGAGGGGGACCUUCGGGCCUCUUGCCAUCAGAUGUGCCCAGAUGGGAUUAGCUAGUUGGUGAGGUAACGGCUCACCAAGGCGACGAUCCCUAGCUGGUCUGAGAGGAUGACCAGCCACACUGGAACUGAGACACGGUCCAGACUCCUACGGGAGGCAGCAGUGGGGAAUAUUGCACAAUGGGCGCAAGCCUG
rnacentral:rRNA from 1 species